rnacentral:lncRNA from 1 species
UAUUUAAUAAAUGGAUCGAGUCAAGUUGGAUCGGAUUAUAAGCCGUUUAAUCCAUGACAGUUGGAGACCUUUAAGGGCUUUAGGAAUUAGGAUUCGAUCAUUUGCCUACUUCUAUGUCAAUCACAUCACCCUCCUCACCACUAUCCUCACCCUCUCGCUCGUCUCCCAUCCCUUCUGCCUCCUCAUCCUUCUCAACCUCCUCACUAUCUAGUGCUUCCUCUACCUAUUCUGCCCCGC